GACAGAGGUGCCGAGCGUUAGGCGGAAUCACUGGGCUUAAAGCGUGUGUAGGCGGAUCGUUAAGUACCUUGUGAAAUCCCACGGCUCAACCGUGGAACUGCUGGGUAUACUGGCGGUCUUGAGCCACCUAGGGGCGAGCGGAACAAGCGGUGGAGCGGUGAAAUGCGUAGAUAUCGGGAGGAACAUCUGUGGCGAAGGCGACUACCUGGACCAGCACUGACACUGAGGCACGAAAGCGUGGGGAGCAAACAGG
rnacentral:rRNA from 1 species